rnacentral:rRNA from 1 species
UGGGGAAUUUUGGACAAUGGGCGAAAGCCUGAUCCAGCAAUGCCGCGUGUGUGAAGAAGGCCUUCGGGUUGUAAAGCACUUUUGUCCGGAAAGAAAUCCUUGGCUCUAAUACAGUCGGGGGAUGACGGUACCCGGGGGAAUAAGCUCCGGCUAACUUCGUGCCAGCAGCCGCGGUAAUACGAAGGGAGCUAGCGUUGUUCGGAAUUACUGGGCGUAAAGGGCGCGUAGGCGGCCUUGUAAGUCAGAUGUGAAAGCCCCGGGCUUAACCUGGGAACUGCAUUUGAUACUGCAAGGCUAGAGAUCGAGAGAGGAAAGUGGAAUUACGAGUGUAGAAGUGAAAUUCGUAGAUAUUCGUAGGAACACCAGUGGCGAAGGCGACUUUCUGGCUCGAUACUGACGCUAAAGCGCGAAAGCGUGGGGAGCAAACAGGAUUAGAUACCCUGGUAGUCCACGCUGUAAACGAUGAGUGCUAGAUGUUAGGAAGGUAACUUCUUAGUGUCGCAGUUAACGCAUUAAGCACUCCGCCUGGGGAGUACGGUCGCAAGAUUAAAACUCAAAGGAAUUGACGGGGGUCAUAGCUGUUUCCUG